GCUUUCUAUUCCGCAGAACCAUUACCUGUUCUGUGGCUUAGUUGGUUAAAGCGCCGGUCUAGCGAAUACGGAGUCGUGGGUUCGAAUCCCACCAGAACGCGAUUUUUUUUUCACAAAUUUCAUCUCUCAAUUUGCCAAUAAGCAACAUUUCGUGCCUUCUAAUUACAAGUUUUUCCACCAUAUUUUGCACUUGAAUAGUUUUUUUUUUGACAUUUUGAAACAUAGUUGAAUACGGUUAUGCAACAAACAUUGAUUACGCUUUAGAAAAGAAACUGAAUUUUCAUCCUCAAUUUGAAAAAGAAGACGUGUAGUUUGUGUAUUGAAAGUUGUCAGAAUUAUGUACUGUAAAACAUACUAAGAAACAUUAUUAAGUAUGCUUUGAUUCAUAUAGAACAUGAUUAUAACAUCUCAAAUAUGUUGCCGAAGCUCCACCUUCUGCGCUUUUUCGGUCAUAUAUCUGUCUGAAAAACGGUUUUAUUGUUAUGAACCAAAACACAGUAACUGGUCAUAUUGGAGUCGAAAUAAUUCCUAUAGAACAUGU